rnacentral:rRNA from 1 species
AGCUGCUUCUGGGUAGCUAAGCCUGCGAGUCAAGCGCUUCUUAGCUAUGUUAGAAGUGCGGCAGACCGCUCAGUAACACGUAGCUAACCUACCUUUAGGACUUGGAUAACCCCGGGAAACUGGGGUUAAUACUAGAUAGGUGGAAGUUCCUGGAAUGGUUCUCCGCCUAAAUCGUAUUAGAAACAUGCUUCUAAUUCGGCCUAAAGAUGGGGCUACGUCCGAUCAGGUAGUUGGUGGGGUAAUGGCCCACCAAGCCUAUAACCGGUACGGGCCCUGAGAGGGGGAGCCCGGAGAUGGGAACUGAGACAAGGUCCCAGGCCCUAUGGGGCGCAGCAGGCGCGAAAACUCCACAAUACACGAAAGUGUGAUGGGGUUACCCCGAGUGCCGUCCGAUGAGGAUGGCUUUUCUUUUGUAUAAUAAGCAGAGGGAAUAAAGGGGGGGCAAGUCUGGUGUCAGCCGCCGCGGUAAUACCAGCCCCCUAAGUGGUAUGGACGAUUAUUUGGCCUAAAGCGUCCGUAGCUGGUUUAAUAAGUCUUCCGUUAAAUCUAACGAUUCAAUCGUUAGGCCUCAGGAGAUACUAUUAGACUAGAGGACGGGAGAGGUCGACGGUAGUCCUGAUGUAGGAGUGAAAUCCUAUAAUCUCAGGAGGACCACCAGUGGCGAAGGCGGUCGACCAGAACGUGCCUGACGGUGAGGGACGAAAGCUGGGGGAGCGAACCGGAUUAGAUACCCGGGUAGUCCCAGCUGUAAACGAUGCGAGCUAGGUGUUGGAGUGACCACGUGUUACUCCAGUGCCGCAGAGAAGUUAUUAAGCUCGCCGCCUGGGAAGUACGGCCGCAAGGCUGAAACUUAAAG